rnacentral:tRNA from 1 species
GAGGGUAUAGCUCAGUGGUAGAGUGCAUGCUUAGCACGCACGAGGUCCUGGGUUCAAUCCCCAGUACAUCA